ACUCCUACGGGAGGCAGCAGUGGGGAAUUUUGGACAAUGGGGGCAACCCUGAUCCAGCCAUGCCGCGUGCGGGAAGAAGGCCUUCGGGUUGUAAACCGCUUUUGUCAGGGAAGAAAUCCUUUGGGCUAAUACCUCGGAGGGAUGACGGUACCUGAAGAAUAAGCACCGGCUAACUACGUGCCAGCAGCCGCGGUAAUACGUAGGGUGCAAGCGUUAAUCGGAAUUACUGGGCGUAAAGCGUGCGCAGGCGGUUAUGCAAGACAGAUGUGAAAUCCCCGGGCUCAACCUGGGAACUGCAUUUGUGACUGCAUAGCUAGAGUACGGUAGAGGGAGAUGGAAUUCCGCGUGUAGCAGUGAAAUGCGUAGAUAUGCGGAGGAACACCGAUGGCGAAGGCAGUCUCCUGGACCUGUACUGACGCUCAUGCACGAAAGCGUGGGGAGCAAACAGGAUUAGAUACCCU
rnacentral:rRNA from 1 species